AGUCAGAACCGCAGGCGGGCAGCUCUGUGGAGGGCCGUGGGGCACACAGGCGGAAAGACGGGGUGGACGGGAGGAGGCGUGCUCCUUGUGAGGAGACGGUGCUGCGUUCGGUGUUCGUGUUCUCGUCGCCCCCGUCGUUGCAUGGAGCCUCUCAAAAUUGCAGGGAGAGUUGAGGCAGGAUGUUGGCAAAUAAAGAGUGGUGAGAAGCACGCCUGGAUUACAGAAAGAAUAGAACAGCACAAUAGAAGUGUAACAGGCAUUUAAUCCACUUCUAAAAUUGGACCGGAGCGCUUUGAUGUAAACAGGAAAUGAACACUGUCUGAACCACCAGACACAGGGAAACAUUUGGCUCCAGGUGUGUCUUCCUCGGAUAAACACUUGUUUGGAAGAAUUGGGAAUCCUGUUUCCACCGUGACCUUUUGAACAACAAGGCUCAGCUCCCCCUCCUCCCUUGAGAAAACCCUAACAAGUGUCUCCUGAUCACAAGGGCCAGUUAGCUGUCCUCAGGCAGCGGUGCCGCCAGAUGCCCCUGGGACCCUGUGCGCUCAUUCCUGCCCACCAGCCUGGCCAGGCCUCCGGGAAAGCCACACGGGCAGAGGUGUCCUUGGACGGGGAGCAGCGAGCGGAGGCCAGGCGGUCAGGACCACAGAGGUUCUCAAAGUGGGUCCUCCGAAGGGCGGCAGCAUCACCUGGACCUGCUAGAGAUGAACAUUUGCCUCCCCACCCCCACUCCACCUGCCGAUUGGAAGCUCUGAUUGGGGGGCAGUGAGGUGCAUUUCGUUCACCCUUUUGGGUGACUGAGAUGCUCCUUCAGCCUCAGGGGAGACGGGUCUCAAGCACCAGGGAGCUCACGGAGUAAGCUGUCUUGGGAUCAGCUCUGCCACCUGUGACCUGUGUGACCUGGACUGACUUACCUAACCACU